GCCGGGCAUGGGGGCACAUGCCUGUAAUCCCAGAAGUUUAGGAGGCUGAGGCAGGAGGAUUGUGAGUUCAAAGCCAGCCUCAGCAACUUAGCAAGGCACUGAGCAACUCGGUGAGACCCUGUCUCUA
rnacentral:sRNA from 1 species